AUAAUUCAGUUGUUGUAUCUUUUUUGUUGCCUACGUGAACCAUAGUUAUCUGACAAGAACAUUUCUCUUAAGGUGUUUAUAGGACUUGGGCGUCUUCUGUUGAAAUUGGAUGAGGUUCCUAAGCUUAGAAAAGAUUGCAUUGAUGAGGUUUCUGUCCAGCUGAAAAUGGUGUGGUGAAAACACUGGUUGAGCACAAGCUUUUGCCUCGAAUAGUUGCAGGAUCUAGUGUUGGUUCCAUCAUAUGUUCAAUUGUUGCUACCCCGAACAUGGCCUGAGGUACAGAGCUUCUUGGUGGACUCAUUGCAGACCUUGCAGUUCUUUGAUAGGAUAGGUGGAAUUUUGUCAGUAACAAAACGGGUUAUGACUUAUGGCGCACUUCAUGACAUUAGCCAGAUGCAAAGGCUUUUGAGGGAUCUGACAAGUCACUACAUGACUGGCCGUGUUCUUGGCAUCACAGUUUGCUCUCAUAGAAAGAAAUGAGCCACCCCGCUGCCUCAACUACCUGACAUCAAACACGUUGUUAUCUGGAGUGCUGUGACGGCCUCUCUUGUGCAUUCCCCGGACUCUUCGAAGCUCAGGAAUUGACGGCGAAGGAUAGAUUGGGUGAGGGAAAAGGAGGAGGACCCAGAACAAGGUCCUGGAGCAUCAAAGCAUCGAUGGAGGGAUGGAAGUUUGGAGGUGGAUCUUCCCAUGAUGCAAAUAAAAGAGUUGUUUAAUGUAAAUCACUUCAUUGUGAGCCAAACUAAUCCUCAUGUCUCUCCACUCCUCCGAUUGAAGGAGAUCGUCCGAACCUAUGGAGGUCGCUUUGCUGGAAAGUGCGCUCGUCUUGCUGAAAUGGAGGUUAAGUACAGAUGUAACCAAAUCCUAGAAAUUGGCCUCCCACUCAAAGGACUAGCAAAAUUGUUUGCUCAGGCUCGGGAGGGUGAUGUCACCAUGGUUAUGCCCGCAACAGCAGCCCAGCAAAAGAACACUGUCAACCUUUCUCAGAGAUCCAAAUUAGUUGCACAUCCUGCGUUUCUACCCUACUUUCUGCCCGUUCCAAUGAUUGGGAGCUUAAGGAGACCGUACCCUGCAUUUUGUAAACAAAGUAGGUAAAGCAGCUAGCUGUAUUUGUUGGCUUGUGCACAUUUGGUUUCCGAAAUGUAUUUGUGUAACCAAUCCAUGUUGGUUGUAAUUACUUUGUCAUGUAUAUAUGAUGUUUGGCUCACAAACAAGAUAUGAUUGUGCUGCUGCUGUAAAUUAUUUCUGCAGAUUGUCUGAUGAAAUGCAUGAUAGCAUGAAGAAUAUAA